CUGCGUCAGACUUUUGCCCGUAGAGACAGAUGCUAUCCCUAUACUGUCCCUAUAUAGUGGUAGUAGUUGUUGUCUGUUUGAAAUUGAGGGACUGAAGUGGUGUGUGUGGAUUGUCACAGUCUAUAUCAUCAGCAUCUUGGUGUAGGUAUAUGGUGCAGUCACUGGUCUGGUCUACGGUCUUUUGUAAGUAUCUUUGCACACAAGGUACCAC